UAACAAUCCUAGAUUGAUAUUAUAGCUUUUCAACACAUGUUAAAUAAACAUAGCAGAUUACAACACUUGGAAAGCAUAGAUAUUUCUAUUGAUAAAUAGAUAGGAGUUGAGAAAGAAGCACCUUUGAGUGGUACACUCAUUGCUUGUAUAAUUUUAUCUGAUGGAUUGUGCAACAAGAUCAACCAUUUCCUUUAGAAUCCUCUAAAUAGAGUAUGCAACACCUCCUACUGAAUGUAAUGUAAAAAUGAGAUGCAACUAAAGAGCAGAUACACAAGUAAUGUAAGAAAAUUAAAGACAAAAUUAGCACAUGUGUGCGCCCAUCAAAAGCACAUUCCAAUAUGUACAGACUUGUAAUAUGUAACACAGCUCGUUCACAUUGAUUUGUACGGCUUCGGUACAGCCGUGUCAUUGAAUAUCAAGGAAAUAGUGAACUAUUGCACAAAGAUAUGAUGCACUAGUGAUCAUAUUUGUUAAUAAGUUCACUCUUGCUGAUGCUCAAGUCGUACGCAUGAGAUAACAUGGCAAGGAGGCAACGGGAACAUUCAGUUGUGGACCAUGAGAAACAAUAGUACAAAGGAGAGUUCACUUUUUUUUGCUUAAGUAUAGGAUAAAUUUAAUAGCUUGUUCAAUGGCAUCAACCUAAAAGUGCUACCAAAUCUAUGGUGAAAUGAAUAGAAAACGGAGCGCUUUCUUAGAAAGCAAGUUACCAAUUUUUAUAUGUUGUAAAGAUAAAAGAGGAACGCUUUAUUAGAAAAAUGAACAGACCCAAAAACAAGCUUUGCACAACCAACUCCAGGUGCACCUGGAGCGUAACAAGUUCAUUGGGCCUGUAAUGACCAUGAUUUCCAUCGAGUUUUUUAUCUUCUAUAGAUAUGCUCUCCUGUAAUAAAAUUGAAAGAACCAAGUCAAUUUCUCACUAAUAAUCACAAGACAAAGAUGCUGGGAAACUAAUCCUUACUGUUAUCGGAUCAAAAAUAGUACUCCCUCCAUAAAGAAAUAUAAGAACGUUUAGAUCAAUAGAGGGAGUAGUUUCUAACAUAAAUAUUAGUGUCAACUGAACUCUCACAAUUAAGGCACCUCCUCGGUAAGCUCAAUACCAAAGGUCAAAAGUAGUACUUGUGAACUGAUUCUUGCAAGUUCAAACAGACCCUUGAUUGUAUCCAGACCAAUAGAUAAUACAAUGCUCACAGCAAGAAUAGUUACCGAUUGGCAUGGACAGAGUGCCAUGAAAUCAAACUGAAUCAGAAGAAUUUACCCACUCCAGCUCUAGGUCAAGGUUUGAUUCCUUUCUGGUAAGGGGAAUGGAGAAGGGGGAAAGAGGUGUUACCUAUGGGAGGAUGGUCGCUGGGGUGGCGUUCGUGCAUGGGAACCAGGCCACAUAUGAGCCACGCGGCAGAGGAAAUGAGGAGGAGAUGCACCGAUGACACGAAGCGGCUAGGGUUUGCCACAGAGUCCAUUGGGCCACUAUGGCCUUCGUUGUCGACUCGCCGCCGUUGUCAUCGUAGACUGGAGCAAGCUCCAAUGAUGUCAUUCAUGUUGAACAUGCCCGAGCGAAAUAUGUUGCUCCUUCGAACAAAUAGAAUUCCACGAUGCACCAUCUAGGUCGAGUUGUCCUAAUAUUAUUGGCAGUCAUUAAUAAUACUAUACAACUGCCGUUACAAGAACAAGAAUUUUCUAUUACAAAAUCUACUACUAGCAAGUAACGAGCAUCUUCUACAAGCAUAAUAAUGGCAUGUCUUGCAGAAAAAUAGCCCAACUUUCACAAAUGAGAUAGGUGCUAAUAUGAUUUUUUGCUAUUCAUGAAUGUCGUCAUUUGCGUACAUCAAAAGGAAAGCAGUAGAUUCACAUGAACUACAUUGUUGAAUGUGAAAGACAAGAAUCACUCGUUAUAUAUAACAACAAAUUUCUCACACGAAGUUUGCACGCAACUAGUGAUUUGUUUGAAGUUCGAUUACCACAAACUGGAUGUUAAUUAUAUAUAGGAUUACACUAAAGAAAAAUAGGAAAUCAAUUACAAGUUGACUAUUUGAGGGGCCUCAUUGGUGUUUUAUAUUUUGAAGGGAUGGGCAAACAUGAUAAUAGUUCCCUCGUGAUGAGUACUUUUCUAUUAACAACCAUCACCAUUUAUAGCAUACCCAAGACUGAACCUGGAGCAUUUGGUACAUCUCACUCAUAUCUAGCGAAGUUAGCAAUAGGUAUUAUAUAACAACCUACAAGCUCAACAAUUAAGACAUGUUUAUAUCUUGCAAAAGAAACAUGUGAUGUUUUAUCGGUCAAGAUAAAAUUAAGCAGUCCAAGUAAACAUGCUCAAACAAUAAUUAUCUGGAAAAAAAUAUUUGUCCCUACUACAUGUAAAUCCAAUACCCAUUCAAUACUUGGCAUCACUAAAUGAGAAAUCUAAAUGAUGAAAUUAGUAAUCUCUUCUCCUACUUGAAUGAGCUCAACAAAUAUGCCACCAUGCACUCCGCAUCAUAAACACUAGAAAUCAACAUGGCCAUCACAUAAUUUCUCUAGCAAUAGGGCUCCAUGGCCACGGACCCGCGCAGAGAACGAGCAUGAGAGUGAGCGAAGCAGAGUAGAGGGACGGUUGGUUGCUUACCAGAUAUGCCCGAGAGGAAGAAGAACGGUCGGAGUUGUUGGAGUGGAAGAAGAAUCACGAGGUGGCUCUGUCCUGCACCACCACAUGCGCGCAUUAGAAAGUGCAUCAGGGAACCAAGACAUGAUCGCUUAUGCAAUAGGGCUACCAAACCAAACAAAACGGGGGAGGGGGAGCAAAACAUUGACCUGCUGGUAAUAUAACAUAUACACCCUCUUUACACUAGUAGAAGACGUUUUGUACAGAGCUAAUAACAUAUCGCACACUUGACUAUUUCAGCAAAAACAUGAGCUGCGCCUUCAGACCUGGUGCUACUACAAGUGUUGAUUCCUGAAUUUGUACCUGAACACAAGUUCAGUUCAUAUACACAAAUAUAAUAUGUAUGUUUGUGCAUGACCAUGCAGAACUGAACUGAAUAAUGUGGACGGUGACAUAGAUCGGUUGACAUGGAACAAUAUACUAUGCUGGUAGGUUUUCAAUCACGUGUCUAGAGGAGAAUUCAAAGUUCCGUAAUUGCACAUUCUCGGCAGUGCUUUACCUCCACUAAUAAUGCAUAUUGCACACUUGACUUUUUCUAGCUAAACAUGAGGUGCACCUUCAGACCUGUUGCUACAAGUGUUGAGUCUGAAUCAUAGGAUGAGCAGAGAGAGAGAUGACAGACCCGAGCUGUUGCUGAUUUGAUGGACCUCGACGAUGGUUGAAUCAUAGAUUUUCUUUUUAAGAAAGCGUUCCUAUUUUCUCUAGUCAGACCCAAGUCACCAUAGAAAAAUGAACAAACCCAAAUCUAUUCAACAUGCUGUAAAGAAAUCUACUCUAAAAUCAGAGAGCAUGCAACAUAAAAAAGGAUUAAACAAGAAACAUGUCGACCUCCAUAGACAUGCAGAUCGCCCCACCUCCCUUGCCUUCUUCUCGUCUUUCUCCUCCUUCUACACCUUCUCCUCCUUCCUCAUCCGCUUUUGCUCAUUUUCUCUGGUCAGGGAAUGGAUCAAAUUGAUACCCCUAAAAACAAACCGGUAAGAUCAGAAAUUGUACAAGGGAAAAAUGAAUUUUUCUUCCCAAAUCAAGCGACAUAGAAGACCGCCGGUGGCGGAGACGAGGACGCACCCCAAACCCUAACCAUGGAUGGAUUGUGUGCGAGCGUUGGAGGCAUGGAGGAACGGAACUGGCCGGAGAGAUCAACGCAGCAUGACGAGGUGAGCUCGGCAGCAUCCUGCGCACCGGCCAUGGCCGCUGGACCUCGCCACAGGCACACAGGUGGCGGAGACGAGGUCGCACCCCAACCCUAACUGCGGGGGGUUGAUUGGGCGCGAGCAUUACAUGCAAGGAUGGACGGAUCUGGGUGGAGGGAUCAACACAACAUUGCUACGUGAGCUCAGUAGCCUCCCGCGCGUCGGCCAUGGCCGCCAGAGCUCACCGAUAAGGUCGUCGGCGGCGGUGGCUAACCAUAGGUCAUGGGAGGGGGGAGAGGAGAUGUGGCUGAGGGGAGAGUGUCUUUGACGCGGCCAUAGCCCAUGUUUUCCGUCAACGGCUAGGAAAGGAGACGACAAACCGUUAUUUUUGCCAUCAGCGUACCUAAAUCAUGACGGCAAAGAAGCCUUUGCCGUCAUGCCUCUUUUGUCGUUUGUCUGUUGGAAUCUCUGCUGAGAGUUUUGUUUUGCCAUUAGUUGCUAGACGACAAAAAGACCUUUGCCGUCUU
rnacentral:lncRNA from 1 species